ACGGUCACAUGACAUUGACACACCGGUUCCCGUACGAUCACCGAAGUUAAGCAACGUCGAAUUUGGUUAGUAACUAUAAUGGUGACCGUUUGGGAAUACCAGGUGCU